AGGGAAAUAGCUCAGUGGUAGAGUGCCUGCUUAGGAUGCAUGAGGUUCUAGGUUCAAUCUCCAGUACCUCCA
rfam:Camelus ferus unplaced genomic scaffold scaffold519, whole genome shotgun sequence.